rnacentral:misc_RNA from 1 species
CCGAGUGAGGGCCCUCUGGGUCCAACCUCCCACCCGUGUUUAUCGUACCUUGUUGCUUCGGCGGGCCCGCCACUUGUGGCCGCCGGGGGGCACUUGCCCCCGGGCCCGCGCCCGCCGAAGACACCAUUGAACGCUGUAUGAAGAUUGCAGUCUGAGCUUAUUAGCUAAAUUAGUUA